rnacentral:rRNA from 1 species
UGGCGGACGGGUGAGUAACGCGUGGGGAACCUGCCCUGUACCGGGGGAUAGCAGCCGGAAACGGCUGAUAAUACCGCAUAAGCGCACGAAUGUCGCAUGACAUGGUGUGAAAAAACUCCGGUGGUAUAGGAUGGACCCGCGUCUGAUUAGCCGGUUGGUGGGGUAAAAGCCUACCAAAGCGAAGAUCAGUAGCCGAGUUGAGAGACUGACCGGCCACAUUGGGACUGAGACACGGCCCAGACUCCUACGGGAGGCAGCAGCA